rnacentral:rRNA from 1 species
CCCUUAGAGUUUGAUCCUGGCUCAGGACGAACGCUGGCGGCGUGCUUAACACAUGCAAGUCGAACGGAAAGGCCCUGCUUUUGUGGGGUGCUCGAGUGGCGAACGGGUGAGUAACACGUGAGUAACCUGCCCUUGACUUUGGGAUAACUUCAGGAAACUGGGGCUAAUACCGGAUAGGAGCUCCUGCUGCAUGGUGGGGGUUGGAAAGUUUCGGCGGUUGGGGAUGGACUCGCGGCUUAUCAGCUUGUUGGUGGGGUAGUGGCUUACCAAGGCUUUGACGGGUAGCCGGCCUGAGAGGGUGACCGGCCACAUUGGGACUGAGAUACGGCCCAGACUCCUACGGGAGGCAGCAGUGGGGAAUAUUGCACAAUGGGCGGAAGCCUGAUGCAGCAACGCCGCGUGCGGGAUGACGGCCUUCGGGUUGUAAACCGCUUUCGCCUGUGACGAAGCGUGAGUGACGGUAAUGGGUAAAGAAGCACCGGCUAACUACGUGCCAGCAGCCGCGGUGAUACGUAGGGUGCGAGCGUUGUCCGGAUUUAUUGGGCGUAAAGGGCUCGUAGGUGGUUGAUCGCGUCGGAAGUGUAAUCUUGGGGCUUAACCCUGAGCGUGCUUUCGAUACGGGUUGACUUGAGGAAGGUAGGGGAGAAUGGAGUUCCUGGUGGAGCGGUGGAAUGCGCAGAUAUCAGAGGAACACCAGUGGCGAAGCGGUUC